ensembl:misc_RNA Metazoa_SRP Metazoan signal recognition particle RNA
GCCGGGAACAAUGGCGCAUUUCUGUAGUCCCGGCUACUUGGGAGGCUGAGGUGGGAGGAUGGCUUGAGUCCAGGAGUUUUGGGCUGUAGUGCACUAUGUUGAUCGGGUGUCCGCACUAAGUUCGGCAUCAAUAUGGUGGCCUCCCAAGAGCGGAGGACCACCAGGUUGCCUAAGCGGGGGUGAACCAGCCGAGGUCAGAAACGGAGCAGGUCAAAACUGCCGUGCUGGGCCAGGCGCAGUGGCUCAAGCCUGUAAUCCCAGCACUUUGGGAGGCUGAGGCGGGUGGAUCACUAGGUCAAGAGAUCGAGACCAUCUUGGUCAACAUGGUGAAACCCUGUCUCUA